UGAUGUUAAAGUAGUAAAGGUCCGCCGGUCGGGGAGGAGCCUAUGGUCUAUCAGCUUGUUGGUGAGGUAAAAGCUCACCAAGGCUACGACGGAUAGCGGGUGUGAGAGCACGACCCGCCUCACUGGGACUGAGACACUGCCCAGACUCCUACGGGAGGCUGCAGUCAAGAAUUUUCCCCAAUGCGCGAAAGCGUGAGGGAGCGACGCCGCGUGUUUGAUGAAGCCCUUCGGGGUGUAAAAAACUUUUCUCUGGGACGAACAAAUGACGGUACCAGAGGAAUAAGAGGUUGCUAACUCUGUGCCAGCAGCAGCGGUAAUACAGAGACCUCGAGCGUUAUCCGGAUUUAUUGGGCGUAAAGGGUUCCGUAGGCGGUUUGCUAAGUCAAUGGUUAAAUCCUCCAGCUCAACUGGAGAACUGCCAUUGAAACUAGUAGACUCGAGACCGGGAGAGGCAAGCGGAAUUGCCGGUGUAGUAGUAAAAUGCGUUAAUAUCGGCAAGAACACCAAAGGCGAAGGCAGCUUGCUAGAACGGUUCUGACGCUAAGGGACGAAAGCGUGGGGAGCGAAUGGGAUUAGAUACCCCAGUAGUCCACGCUGUAAACGAUGGGCACUAGAUAUUGGAAGUAUCGACCCUUCCAGUGUCGUAGACUUAAGCUAACGCCUUAAGUGCCCCGCCUGGGGAGUACGGUCGCAAGACUAAAACUCAAAGGAAUUGACGGGAAUCCGCACAAGCGGUGGAGCAUGUGGUUUAAUUCGACAAUAAGCGAGGAACCUUACCAGGGCUUGACAUCUAGCUGCAAGCCUCCCGAAAAGGAGGCCGCCUUCGAGGGUGCUAGACAGGUGCUGCAUGGUUGUCGUCAGCUCGUGUCGUGAGAUGUACCGUUAAGUCGGGAAACGAGCGCAAUCCCUACUCUGUGUUAUAUAUGUCACAGAGAACUGCCUGGGUUAACCAGGAGGAAGGUGGGGAUGACGUCAAAUCAGCAUGGCUCUUACGUCCUGGGCGACACACGUGCUACAAUGGCCAGUACAAUGGGUUGCCAAGUCGCAAGACGGAGCUAAUCCCAGCAAAGCUGGUCUCAGUUCGGAUUGAGGUCUGAAACUCGACCUCAUGAAGCUGGAAUCGCUAGUAACCGCGCAUCAGCCAUGGCGCGGUGAAUACGUUCUCGGAUUUUGUACACACCGCCCGUCACGUCAAGAGAGUCGGUAAUACCCGAAUCCUGCUGGAUAGCGGGAGAAGGUAGGAUCGAUAAUAGGGACGAAGUCGUAACAAGGCA
rnacentral:rRNA from 1 species